rnacentral:rRNA from 1 species
CCUACGGGAGGCAGCAGUAGGGAAUCUUUCACAAUGGGCGAAAGCCUGAUGGAGCAACGCCGCGUGCAGGAUGAAGGCCUUCGGGUUGUAAACUGCUUUUAUAAGCGAGAAAUAUGAUGGUAACUUAUGAAUAAGGAUCGGCUAACUACGUGCCAGCAGCCGCGGUCAUACGUAGGAUCCGAACAGUAUCCGGAGUGACUGGGUGUAAAGAGUUGCGUAGGUGGCAUAAUAAGUAGCUAGUGAAAUCUGGUGGCUCAACCAUUCAGACUAUUAGCUAAACUGUUAAGCUCGAGACCGUUAGGGGUAACUGGAAUUUCUAGUGUAGGAGUGAAAUCCGUAGAUAUUAGAAGGAACACCAAUAGCGUAGGCAGGUUGCUGGGACGGUUCUGACACUAAGGCACGAAAGCGUAGGGAGCAAACGGGAUUAGAUACCCGGGUAGUC